AGUGGCGGACGGGUGAGUAACGCGUUAGAAUCUGCCUUGGGGUCGGGGACAACCACUGGAAACGGUGGCUAAUACCGGAUAAGCCGAUUGGUGAAAGAUUUAUUGCCCGAAGAGGAGCUCGCGUCUGAUUAGCUAGUUGGUGAGGUAAGAGCUCACCAAGGCAGCGAUCAGUAGCUGGUCUGAGAGGACGAUCAGCCACACUGGGACUGAGACACGGCCCAGACUCCUACGGGAGGCAGCAGUGGGGAAUUUUCCGCAAUGGGCGAAAGCCUGACCGAGCAAGACCGCGUGAGGGAGGAAGGCUCUUGGGUUGUAAACCUCUUUUCUCAGGGAAGAAGCUCUGACGGUACCUGAGGAAUCAGCCUCGGCUAACUCCGUGCCAGCAGCCGCGGUAAUACGGAGGAGGCAAGCGUUAUCCGGAAUUAUUGGGCGUAAAGCGUCCGCAGGUGGCGAUUCAAGUCUGCUGUCAAAGCACGGGGCUUAACUCCGUAAAGGCAGUGGAAACUGAAUAGCUAGAGUGCCGUAGGGGUAGAGGGAAUUCCCGGUGUAGCGGUGAAAUGCGUAGAGAUCGGGAAGAACAUCGGUGGCGAAAGCGCUCUACUGGACGGCAACUGACACUCAGGGACGAAAGCUAGGGGAGCGAAUGGGAUUAGAUACCCC
rnacentral:rRNA from 1 species